rnacentral:rRNA from 1 species
GUCUUUAUGAGUUAUUUUUAAAGUCUGACCUGCCCACUGAAUAAUUUUUAAAUGGCCGCAGUAUUCUAACUGUGCAAAGGUAGCAUAAUCAUUAGUCUUUUAAUUGAAGGCUGGUAUGAACGGUUGGACGAAGUAUAAGCUGUUUCAUAUAAAAUUAUAUUAGAAUUUUAUAUUUUAGUUAAAAAGCUAAAAUUUUAUUAAAAGACGAGAAGACCCUAUAAAUCUUUAUAUUUGAAAUUAUUUGAAUUUUUUUGAUUGAUUUUAUUUUUAUAAUAUUAAAUAUUUUGUUGGGGUGAUAUUAAAAUUUAAUUAACUUUUAAUUAUUAAUUAAAUCAUUAAUUUAUGAAUAAUUGAUCCAUUAAUAAUGAUUAUAAGAUUAAGUUACUUUAGGGAUAACAGCGUAAUUUUUUUUGAGAGUUCAUAUCGAUAAAAAGGUUUGCGACCUCGAUGUUGGAUUAAGAUAUAUAUUUAGGUGUAGCUGCUUAAACGUUAAGUCUGNUCGACUUUUAAAUCNUACAU